AAAAAAUAUGUUUCUUUUUUAGACAAUCUGGGCUUCCGAGAGGGUUUGAAGAUAUUUGGUUUUAUAUAGAUUAUAGAUGUUCAAGGGAAGAAGCUAUCUGUAAACUUGGGAUAGGAGAAGGAACAGAUUCUAAAUCAAAAGAAUUUAUAUUUACUCCUUACUAUCAACAACUGGACAAUAUCGAUGGGCCUGCUAUAGAUACAUACAGAGUAGGUAUUGAACCUACAGAUGAAUCUGAACCUGGAGUAGAUCCGUACCAAGGAGUGUAUCUAGGUGUGGAGUGCAGGGUGGGAGAGUGGGGUAUGUGUGCUCACACUGCUCAAUGUAUAAGUGGAGUUUGUAGAAGAGAUGUAGAAAAUAAACCGAAAUGUCUAUCUCAGGCUGAUGGAUAGGAAAAUCAAGAUCUUAGAGCCUAGGUUUAGAUUCAAACCUAGAAAUAAACCUAGAUCUAAGCCUAGAUUCAAACCUAGAAAUAAACCUAGAUCUAAACCUAAAUCUAAACCUUUAUCUAAACCUAGAUCUAACCCUAGAUCUAAACCUAUAUCUAAACCUAUAUCUAAACCUAGAUCUAAACAUAGAUCUAAACCUAGAUCUAAACCUAGAUCUAACCCUAGAUCUAAACCUUUAUGAAACCUAGAUCUAAACCUAUAUGAAACCUAGAUCUAAACAUAGAAAUAAACCUAGAUCUAAACCUAGAUCUAAACCUUUAUCUAAACCUAGAUCUAAACCUAGAUCUAAACAUAGAUCAAAACCUAGAUCUAAACCUAGAUCUAAACCUAGAUCUAAACCUAGAUCUGAACCUAGAUCUAAACCUAGAUCUAAACCGACAUCUAAACUUAGAUGAAAACCUUGAUGUACACCUAAAUUAAAACCUAGACCUAGAUGUAACAUGUCCUCAGAAUUCAAACAUCGAGUUAAAUACUUAGAUUCUAAACUUAAACCUUAGACCUUGACUUUAUGGCUGAAUCUAAGCUUUAAGUUUAAACCAAGAUAUUAUAUUUAUUUUAAGAAGGACCUAGAAAGUGAAAUAUGUACAAUUAUAGAGAUCGAUAUUCAUAUCAAUCAAUUGAAUGGACCAAGAAUCGAUAUUGAGAAAAUCUGCAGCCACUUUGAAAUGGACUGUGGACAUGGAUUAAAAUUAGAAGGGUGCAGGCAUAUCUGAUUCACAACGAUACCUUUUUUUACUUUGUCUGACAAUAUGUCUCGCUAAAAAUUAAAUGCCAGCUUUGGUACAGGGAUGUGAUGACAUUAUAUCCUGAACCAGAUUUACUUGAAUUCAGAAUAUUUUUUUAACGUGGUUUUUAGAAUAAGAAUAUAUAUUUUC